AUUGAACGCUGGCGGCAUGCCUUACACAUGCAAGUCGAACGGUAACAGGUCCUCGGAUGCUGACGAGUGGCGAACGGGUGAGUAAUACAUCGGAACGUGCCUAGUAGUGGGGGAUAACUACUCGAAAGAGUGGCUAAUACCGCAUGAGAUCUACGGAUGAAAGCAGGGGAUCGCAAGACCUUGUGCUACUAGAGCGGCCGAUGGCAGAUUAGGUAGUUGGUGGGAUAAAAGCUUACCAAGCCGACGAUCUGUAGCUGGUCUGAGAGGACGAUCAGCCACACUGGGACUGAGACACGGCCCAGACUCCUACGGGAGGCAGCAGUGGGGAAUUUUGGACAGUGGGCGCAAGCCUGAUCCAGCAAUGCCGCGUGCAGGAUGAAGGCCUUCGGGUUGUAAACUGCUUUUGUACGGAACGAAAAGCCCUGGGUUAAUACCCUGGGGUCAUGACGGUACCGUAAGAAUAAGCACCGGCUAACUACGUGCCAGCCGCCGCCGUAAGAC
rnacentral:rRNA from 1 species